UACAGAGGUCUCAAGCGUUGUUCGGAUUCAUUGGGCGUAAAGGGCGCGUAGGCUGCGGGGCAAGUCGGGUGUGAAAUCUCAGAGCUCAACUCUGAAACUGCACUCGAUACUGCUUUGCUCGAGGACUGGAGAGGAGAUUGGAAUUCACGGUGUAGCAGUGAAAUGCGCAGAUAUCAGGAAGAACACCAAUGGCGAAGGCAGCUCUCUGGGACGGUACUGACGCUGAGACGCGAAAGCGUGGGGAGCGAACAGG
rnacentral:rRNA from 1 species